rnacentral:rRNA from 1 species
AAGCUUGCCCGAUUCUGAUCUCCAGCACGCGUGCUAGCAGUGAUUGCAUGGACGAUCGAUCCCUUAGGUUA